AAGCAGCUCCAAACUGGGGGGGGGUCUCUGGGGGUCCCGGGGGACUUUUGGGGGGGUCCCAAAGGGGAGACUCGCCCCCCCCCCCCCAAUUCCAUCCCGGGGGCGCAGCGGGACCCCAACACUGCCACUGCCACCCGCUCCGCCCACAGCCUGCCUCAGUUUCCCUGCGGGAUGGGCCGGGACUGGGAUAAACUGGGAUAAACUGGGACUGGGACGGACUGGGACUGGGAUGGACUGGGAUAAACUGGGACUGGGAUAAACUGGGAUGGACUGGGACUGGGAUAAACUGGGACUGGGAUGGACUGGGACUGGGAUGGACUGGGAUGGACUGGGACUGGGAUAAACUGGGAUGGACUGGGACUGGGAUAAACUGGGACGGACUGGGACUGGGAUGGACUGGGAUAAACUGGGACUGGGAUAAACUGGGAUGGACUGGGACUGGGAUAAACUGGGACUGGGAUAAACUGGGAUGAAUUGGGACUGGGAUAAACUGGGACUGGGAUGGACUGGGAUAAACUGGGACCGGGAUGGACUGGCAUAAACUGGGAUAAACUGGGACUGGGACUGGGCUGGUCCCACUCCGGGACAUUCCCCACGGGAUCAGGGAGCUCCGAUACCGGAAAGUUCCACCACGGGAAUGCCGAUACUGGGAUGAUCCCACAGAGGAUCCCACAGAGGAUCCCACAGACGGUCCCACACCGGGAUGCUCCAAGCCCGGAAUGUCCCAGCCUGGGGAUGCUCCGUUACCGGGAUGCUCCAAGAUCGGAGGGAUCCAGGACCGGAACGCUCCGACACCGGAACGAUCCGACACCGAUUCCGGAACGUUCCAGCAGAUGCUCUGACACUGGAAUGAUCCAAUUCCAGAACAAUCCAGCAGAUGUUCCGACACCGGAAUGAUCCGAUCCCGGAAUGAUCCGGUCCCGGAAGGCCCCGGCCGUGGGACGCUUCAGCCCCGACCCCGGGAUGUUCCCGCUUUUGGGAUGUUCCCGCGUUUGGGAUGUUCCCGCUUUUGGGAUGUUCCCGCUCUUGGGAUGUUCCCGCUUUUGGGAUGUUCCCGCU
rnacentral:lncRNA from 1 species